rnacentral:rRNA from 1 species
CAGUAGCCACGGUAAUACGUAGGUGGCGAGCGUUGUCCGGAAUUAUUGGGCGUAAAGGGAGCGCAGGCGGGCGAGUAAGUCUUUCUUAAAAGUGCGGGGCUCAACCCCGUGAGGGGAGAGAAACUACUCAUCUUGAGUGCAGGAGAGGAAAGCGGAAUUCCUAGUGUAGCGGUGAAAUGCGUAGAGAUGUGGAGGAACACCAGUGGCGAAGGCGACCCUCUGGUCUGUAACUGACGCUGAGGAGCGAAAGCGUGGGGAGCGAACAGGAUUAGAUACCCGAGUAGUCCCUGUCUCUUAUACA